rnacentral:rRNA from 2 species
CUAUACAUGCAGUCGAGCGNGACAGAAGGGAGCUUGCUCCCGGAUGUUAGCGGCGGACGGGUGAGUAACACGUGGGUAACCUGCCUGUAAGACUGGGAUAACUCCGGGAAACCGGAGCUAAUACCGGAUAGUUCCUUGAACCGCAUGGUUCAAGGAUGAAAGACGGUUUCGGCUGUCACUUACAGAUGGACCCGCGGCGCAUUAGCUAGUUGGUGAGGUAACGGCUCACCAAGGCGACGAUGCGUAGCCGACCUGAGAGGGUGAUCGGCCACACUGGGACUGAGACACGGCCCAGACUCCUACGGGAGGCAGCAGUAGGGAAUCUUCCGCAAUGGACGAAAGUCUGACGGAGCAACGCCGCGUGAGUGAUGAAGGUUUUCGGAUCGUAAAGCUCUGUUGUUAGGGAAGAACAAGUGCAAGAGUAACUGCUUGCACCUUGACGGUACCUAACCAGAAAGCCACGGCUAACUACGUGCCAGCAGCCGCGGUAAUACGUAGGUGGCAAGCGUUGUCCGGAAUUAUUGGGCGUAAAGGGCUCGCAGGCGGUUUCUUAAGUCUGAUGUGAAAGCCCCCGGCUCAACCGGGGAGGGUCAUUGGAAACUGGGAAACUUGAGUGCAGAAGAGGAGAGUGGAAUUCCACGUGUAGCGGUGAAAUGCGUAGAGAUGUGGAGGAACACCAGUGGCGAAGGCGACUCUCUGGUCUGUAACUGACGCUGAGGA